AGCAGCCGCGGUAAUUCCAGCUCCAAUAGCGUAUAUUAAAGUUGUUGCAGUUAAAAAGCUCGUAGUUGAAUUUCGGGAUUGACACAUCGGUCGUGCCUUAAGGGGUAUGAACUGGUGUAGUCAAUUUCUCACCUUCUGGAGAACCGCGAUGCCCUUAAUUGGGUGUCACGGGGAACCAGGACCUUUACUUUGAAAAAAUUAGAGUGUUUAAAGCAGGCACACGCUUGAAUACAUUAGCAUGGAAUAAUGAAAUAGGACGUUUGACCCUAUUUUAUUGGUUUCUAGGAUCGACGUAAUGAUUAAUAGGGAUAGUUGGGGGCAUUAGUAUUCAAUUGUCAGAGGUGAAAUCCUUGGAUUUAUUGAAGACUAACUACUGCGAAAGCAUUUGCCAAGGAUGUUUUCAUUAAUCAAGAACGAAAGUUAGGGGAUCGAAGACGAUCAGAUACCGUCGUAGUCUUAACCAUAAACUAUGCCGACUAGGGAUCGGAUGAUGUUAAUUUUUUAAUGACUCA
rnacentral:rRNA from 1 species